rnacentral:tRNA from 1 species
GUCUAUAUAGAUUAUUUAAAUCGUGAUGCUGUUAACUUCAAAAAGGGAUAAGUCUCUAUAGUCG